rnacentral:lncRNA from 1 species
UUGGGGUCUCCGUCAGAUCAGCCAGACAGGCAGAAGAGGGGGCGGAUGGACAGAGAAGGGGAAGUCCCCUAAACAGACAGACAGGCUGGGGGUCCUCCCGUCAGAUCAGCAGACAGGAGAGACGGGGGGUGAUGGACAGAGAAGGGGAAGCCCCAACGACAGACCGGCUGGGGGUCUCCGCAGAUCCAGCAGACAGGAGAAGAGGGGGUGAUGCCUUGACAGAGAAGGGGAAGCCCCUAACAGACAGACAGGCUGGGGGUCUCCGUCAGAUCAGCAGACAGGAGCAGAGGGGGGUGAGGUGAUGACGAGAAGGGCGAGCCCCUAACAGACAGACAGGCUGUUGGUCUCCGUC